UGGCACUGCUUACUCGGGAAAAUGCUACUCAAUCUGAGUAAAAGUUGCAGAAUCAGAGCCCUUAGGCAUUAGCAGAACAGAGUCAAAAAGGUGGGUAAAACCCACAUAACUUAUUGGCACAGAAGUUGUUUCUGCCCUGGGCUUGCUGUCACUAUCUUUCCAUGCUGGAAAAAUUGUGUGUGUGGGUGCAGUAUACCCGUUUUUACAAGUUUUAUUUUGCUAACAUCUCAUGAGUUCUGGUCUCCCCAGCAAUGAAUCUGAGAUACUUUUGUUCGUGUGUGCUGCAGGGGAAAAGGAUUUAAAGACCCAACAUCAAAAAAAGAGACUGCCUUUCUGUGGUUUGGGAACAGCAGCUUGAUGUGAAAUAAUCUUGAAGAUAAGGUCCAAUGUUUUCUUUUGACGUAGGUUGACAAUGCAACAAGUUGCUGUUGUGGAGGGAGACAAGAAAAGCAGGUGUUGUCUGAACUCACGAGAAGAUGCUUGCUCUGAAGAGUUUACAAUCUACUAACACAUGCAGCCUUUGAAAUGGGGGACAGUGGAACACAACAAAGCAUAACAGAAGAGGUGAGAUGUGGAGGCAAAGUGAGCAGUUGCCAUUUUGGAUCAGUUUGGCCCUUGUGGAUGUUCCAUGCAACGUGGGAGAAUGUGCGAAGACUGGUGUGGGCUUGGCUGGUGGCUUGUCAAAACUGUCAACGUUGACACAUAUAGCCUUGUGGCUAGGACAAGAAAGUAGGAGUCAGAAUUCCUGGGAU